rnacentral:rRNA from 1 species
UACGUAGGGUGCAAGCGUUAAUCGGAAUUACUGGGCGUAAAGCGUGCGCAGGCGGUUUUGUUAGUUUGUCGUGAAAUCCCCGGGCUCAACCUGGGAAUUGCGAUGAAUACUGCAAGGCUUGAAUCUGGCAGAGGGGGGUAGAAUUCCACGUGUAGCAGUGAAAUGCGUAGAGAUGUGGAGGAACACCAAUGGCGAAGGCAGCCCCCUGGGUCAAGAUUGACGCUGAUGCGCGAAAGCGUGGGGAGCAAACAGG